rnacentral:rRNA from 1 species
CGGGGUCAGCGGCGGACGGGUGAGUAACGCGUGGGAAUGUGCCCUUUGCUACGGAAUAGUCCUGGGAAACUGGGGGUAAUACCGUAUACGCCCUUUGGGGGAAAGAUUUAUCGGAGAAGGAUCGGCCCGCGUUAGAUUAGAUAGUUGGUGGGGUAAUGGCCUACCAAGGCGACGAUCUUUAGCUGGUCUGAGAGGAUGAUCAGCCACACUGGAACUGAGACACGGUCCAGACUCC